rfam:Erwinia iniecta strain B120 contig000015, whole genome shotgun sequence.
GUCGGUUUGUAAAGCAGAGCCGAAUAUGCGAGCAGUUUUAGUAAAGCAGUCUUCAGUUCAAGCGUUAUCUUAGAUAUCUCUUCUUCCUGACUCCUUCCUGAGUGCCUCAUAAAUUCUGUGGACAAACCAUUUCGCCCUAUGUGGCUUGUAAUUGAAUGAAGGAUAGACAAAUGUCUAACAAAAUGACUGGUUUAGUAAAAUGGUUCAACGCUGAGAAAGGUUUCGGUUUUAUUUCUCCAACCGACGGCAGCAAAGACGUUUUCGUACACUUCUCUGCGAUCCAGAACAACGGCUUUAAGACCCUCGAAGAAGGUCAGAAAGUUGAGUUCUCUAUCGAGAAUGGCCAGAAAGGCCCAGCAGCUGCUAACGUAACUGCUAUCUAAGCGACUUUCUCGCGACGGAAUGUUAAGGCUUAGCCUGAACCCUCGGUCACGAAACGCUAACAAAAACCCGCCUUGUGCGGGUUUUUGUGU